UCAUCCUAACAGGAAACUGAUCUGGCC
rnacentral:piRNA from 2 species